AACGAACGCUGGCGGCAUGCCUAACACAUGCAAGUCGAACGAGACCUUCGGGUCUAGUGGCGCACGGGUGCGUAACGCGUGGGAACCUGCCCUUAGGUUCGGCAUAACUCCCCGAAAGGGGUGCUAAUACCGGAUAAUGUCUUCGGACCAAAGAUUUAUCGCCUUUGGAUGGGCCCGCGUUGGAUUCGCUAGUUGGUAGGGUAAAAGCCUACCAAGGCGACGAUCCAUAGCUGGUCUGAGAGGAUGAUCAGCCACACUGGGACUGAGACACGGCCCAGACUCCUACGCGAGGCAGCAGUGGGGAAUAUUGGACAAUGGGCGAAGGCCUGAUCCAGCAAUGCCGCGUGAGUGAUGAAGGCCUUAGGGUUGUAAAGCUCUUUUACCCGGGAUGAUAAUGACAGUACCGGGAGAAUAAGCUCCGGCUAACUCCGUG
rnacentral:rRNA from 1 species